UUUGUACCCCCUUCAUCCGAAAAAGCUUGUCCCUAGCUUGUUCCUCAAAUGGAUGUAUCUAGCACUAACUUGGUGCUAGAUACAUUCAUUUGAGGGACAAGCUUUUUCGGACGGAGGGAGUAAAAG
rfam:Triticum aestivum genome assembly, contig: Triticum_aestivum_CS42_TGACv1_scaffold_193603_3AL